rnacentral:rRNA from 1 species
AUUGAACGCUGGCGGCAGGCUUAACACAUGCAAGUCGAACGCGUGGCGGACGGGUGAGUUAUGCUUGGGAAUCUGGCUUAUGGAGGGGGAUAACGACGGGAAACUGUCGCUAAUAACGCGUACCCAACGCUGAGCCCAAGGGGGAUGAGGUAGUUGGUGGGGUAAUGGCAUACAAAGCCGACGAGCUCUAGCUGGUCUGAGAGGAUGACCAGCCACACUGGGACGGAGACAAGGCCCGGACUCCUACGGGAGGCAGCAGUGGGGAAUAUUGCGCAAUGGGGGCAACCUGACGCAGCCAUGCCGCGUGUGUGAAGAAGGCCUUCGGGUUGUAAAGUUCUUUCGGUGACGAGGCGUUAAUCACAGAAGAAGCACCGGCUAACUCCGUGCCAGCCGCCGCGGUAAUAC